ACUUAAGGGCUUUCACAAAACUCCAUCUCCUUGCCACAUAUUGGACAAUUUUCACUUCUUUCCAACCAUUCAUAAAUACAACCAAGAUGGAAAUGGUGGGAGCAUCUUGUUGUGAUUUUGGGAUUUUCUGGAGUGUAUUCGUCAAGACAAGUAGGGCAGACAUCUUCAUCUUCAAAAGACUGUUGCACAUAAGACAGUCCAUAUGUAACUUUUGUUUCCAGAGCUUUUUCUGAGGACUCUGAAUGACUCAGUUUAUAGUCUUCCUCCAAAUCAACCCCAUUCCAUUUCUUCCCAAAACCAGAUGAUUCCAUGCCAGAAUUGCUCAUAUUUCUCCUCAAUGGUUGUGAUUCUUCUUGAAAAUGAGUCAUUGACUUUCUAGAUACUAAACCAUCUCGCUGUAAACGAGUGUAUCUUUGGUCAGCAUCAUAAGGGACUGGCCUGGUUAAUGAGACAUGAGUAUCACUAAUGGAACCAUCUGGUAAUCCCGUGCCAACUCCUGUUGAUGUCAAAGAAGUACCUCCUUCGAUUGAAGAUAUUGGCCGACCUUCAAGUCUAUGAAACAUUGCACCAUACCCACUGAGUAACUGGUGGAAAAAGAAUCUUAGGCAGAUGCAGUGCCUAUAUAUUGAAUUGCCAGCAUAAGCAUAUUCUUCAAAUUCAUCACUGCAAGGACAGCAGCAGAAGGCACCCAUAUCUGUGCUUUAAAAAUAUAUCGUAAGGAAUGAAUUGUUGCCAGCUACGAAGCAAUCAACCAGGACUAUAUCUUCAGUGUUUC
rnacentral:misc_RNA from 1 species